rnacentral:rRNA from 1 species
UACGUAGGGUGCAAGCGUUGUCCGGAAUUAUUGGGCGUAAAGAGCUCGUAGGCGGUCUGUCACGUCGGCUGUGAAAACCCGGGGCUCAACCCCGGGCCUGCAGUCGAUACGGGCAGACUAGAGUGCGGUAGGGGAGACUGGAAUUCCUGGUGUAGCGGUGAAAUGCGUAGAUAUCUGGAGGAACACCGGUGGCGAAGGCGGCAUCCUGGACCGGCAUUGACGCUGAGUGAGCGAAAGCCAGGGGAGCAAACGGG